rnacentral:rRNA from 1 species
UGCAAGUCGAGCGCACCCCUUCGGGGGCGAGCGGCGGACGGGUUAGUAACGCGUGGGAAUGUACCCUUCUCUAAGGAAUAGCCACUGGAAACGGUGAGUAAUACCUUAUACGCCCUUUUGGGGAAAGAUUUAUCGGAGAAGGAUCAGCCCGCGUAAGAUUAGAUAGUUGGUGGGGUAAUGGCCUACCAAGUCUACGAUCUUUAGCUGGUUUUAGAGGAUGAUCAGCAACACUGGGACUGAGACACGGCCCANACUCCUACGGGAGGCAGCAGUGGGGAAUCUUGGACAAUGGGCGCAAGCCUGAUCCAGCCAUGCCGCGUGUGUGAUGAAGGCCUUAGGGUCGUAAAGCACUUUCGCUAGAGAUGAUAAUGACAGUAUCUAGUAAAGAAGUCCCGGCUAACUCCGUGCCAGCAGCCGCGGUAAUACGGAGGGGACUAGCGUUGUUCGGAAUUACUGGGCGUAAAGCGUACGUAGGCGGAUCAGAAAGUAUGGGGUGAAAUCCCAGGGCUCAACCCUGGAACUGCCUCAUAAACUCCUGGUCUAGAGUUCGAGAGAGGUGAGUGGAAUUCCGAGUGUAGAGGUGAAAUUCGUAGAUAUUCGGAGGAACACCAGUGGCGAAGGCGGCUCACUGGCUCGAUACUGACGCUGAGGUACGAAAGUGUGGGGAGCAAACAGGAUUAGAUACCCUGGUAGUCCACACCGUAAACGAUGAAUGCCAGUCGUCGGGCAGUAUACUGUUCGGUGACACACCUAACGGAUUAA